GCGCUUAUGUGGAGUAAAGUAUCAGCUGGGAGAGACCGGAGCUGCAUUCACUCGCGUCUCACUGUGCGGACAGCAUCUGUCAACUCCCCGGACCAACUCAUUACAGCGCACAAAGAGAGAGAAACACACCUGCUACUGAUGCGAGAGGCCACAGCACACUUUACAGCGCCAUGCGAUGAAACAACCGCCAGCGCGUGAGGAACAGCGUCCACAUCUGAGAAACAAGGACAGACGCCUGGCAUCACUGAGCAACUCGAUCUGGAGGCGCACCUGAGUAUACUCCAAAGAUCUCAUUAGUCUGUGAUGAGCAUCGUCAUCCAGCACAGACCCAAGACAGCGCUACGUAUCCUCUAAGAGGAAGUGAUGUCACGACACCAUCACCGCUUUGAGAGAGACUAUCGAGGCCCCUGGGACCGUCGCGAGCGAGCCGGAGGCCUUCACAAUGGCGUUGGCAACAGCACCUGCUCCUCAGCACCGCCCGUGGCCAACGGCAACAACCGUCCGGGACUCCUCCCGCUCCCGGUCAUCCCGUCCCUCCUUCCCACCCCUGUGACCAUCGCCGUGACGUCGGCCAGCAACGACCUCGCCGCCAAGCGCUCAGGAGCCUCUGCAUCCGCCACGGCACCUGUUGUGAAGGCGGCGGGUCUUUCUCCUGGUGAGACACAGCCUCCGAGUCUCCUGUUGGCUCCUGGAGUGAGAUGGGGCCAGACCCCCAUCAACCAGUCCACUCCGUGGGAGACCGACGAGCCUCCCACCAAGCAGCACAGAGAGAGCGACACCACAGGGCCCCCAUGGGUGCCUCCAGGGGUAGCGGCCAGUCAGCCCAGCUUACUGGCCCAUUCGUAUGGGAUGCCUCAGCCACCCGCCUAUAGCCAAGGAGUGUCCGUCCAGUCUCCCAUCAUCGGCGUGACCCCAGCCAUCCAGACGCCCAUCCCACCGCACCAUCCACUCAUGACCGCCCACUUCCAGCUUCCUCCCCUCUCCUCCCAAGUGCCAGGUAGCCUGGUCCUAAACCUACAGAACCAGUCACCCUACGCCACCAGCCAGCUGCCAAUCACCCCAUCGCCCCUCACGACGGCCGGCCGGGUAGUUCACCCCGCCCCUCAGAGCGUGGUGGGAAACGGUCACAUGACACACCCGCUCAUACAGCCACCUGCUUUGCCUUCCGCCGCGCUGCCACUAACGAACGGACAGGCGACGACUCAGCCGGCAUCAGCCAAUCAGGAAAGUCCGAUCAGGCUUCAGAUGCUCCGUACGGUCGGAAUGGGGAAGUACGAGUUCACAGACCCGAGUCAUCCGAAAGAGAUGUUGAAGGAUUUGAACCAGCAGCGCAGAGAGAAAGAGUUUACAGACCUGAAAAUUAUAGUUGAAGGCAAAGAGUUUGAAGUCCACCAAAAUGUUCUAGCUUCCUGCAGCUUGUAUUUCAAGGACCUGGUGAAAAGGUUUGUAGGAAGACUUUGGUUUCUAUCACAGGGCCAGCAGCCAUUCACCGUUUCGCUCAAAUGAAUGUAUCUUAAAUUGGGAAAAAGGUCGUCGAGAGAGACGGGCAGUGGAGAGAAGCUGGAGCUGAAGAUGACAAACAUCGGUGCAGAUGUGCUGGAGCUGCUGCUGGAGUUUGUCUACACCGGCUCGCUGGUCAUCCACUCGGCCAACGCCAAAACCUUGCUGGAGGCCGCCAACAAGUUUCAGUUCAACACUUUCUG
ensembl:lncRNA